UACGGAGGGGGCUAGCGUUGUUCGGAAUGACUGGGCGUAAAGGGCGCGUAGGCGGUUUUUUAAGUGAGGCGUGAAAGCCCUGGGCUUAACCCAGGAAGUGCGUUUCAGACUGAAAGACUAGAGUACGAGAGAGGAAAGUGGAAUUCCUAGUGUAGAGGUGAAAUUCGUAGAUAUUAGGAAGAACACCAGUGGCGAAGGCGGCUUUCUGGCUCGCAACUGACGCUGAGGCACGAAAGCAAGGGGAGCAAACAGG
rnacentral:rRNA from 1 species